rnacentral:tRNA from 1 species
ACCCCGCUGGCGGAGGCGACCGUGCAGACGUUCCGGGUGACGGUGGGCUGACGUCCAGCCCCGCGGCGGCGGCGCGGAGCCGGCGUGGGGAG